AUUGAACGCUGGCGGCAGGCUUAACACAUGCAAGUCGAACGAGAGGCGGACGGGUGGGUAAUGCUUGGGAAUGUCGCUUCUGGCUGGGGCUAACUACGGGGAACUGUAGCUAAUAACGAGUACCAUAGGCUGAGCCCAAGUGGGAGUAGGUAGUUGGUGAGGUAAAGGCUCACCAAGCCGACGCACUCUAGCUGGUCUGAGAGGAUGACCAGCCACACUGGGAAUGAGACACGGCCCAGACUUCGACGGGAGGCAGCAGUGGGGAAGAUUGGGAAAUGGGGGCAACCUGACGCAGCCAUGCCGCGUGAAUGAAGAAGGCCUUCGGGUUGUAAAGUUCUUUCGGUAGCGAGGCGUUAACUACAGAAGAAGCACCGGCUAACUCCGUGCCAGCAGCCGCGGUAAUAC
rnacentral:rRNA from 1 species